GAGCCUCGAGGAUCUUUUCACAGCUUGUGGUGUGCUGGAUUCAAAUUGACAAACAUUAUCACUGAUGAGAACCUUCAGAAUUCUGCUGUUGUGGCCCCAGUACCCCUAAAUCAGGUUUAGCACUGAUAACUACAUCACCUCCUGACAACAUAAAAUAAUAUGUAUAAGACUGGGAUUUGCAAUACAUUGUCAUCCAUAUUUAUUGUGAUGGAAGCUACAGAGAGAUGAAUGAGCUCACAGGAAACUUGAAAAGUGUUACUGCACAAUGCAAAGUAACAUGGUUAUGAAAAUACAAAAUGGAACAUUCAGGUGAUAAGGAGUUCAAUUUCAAAAUGGUAUAGUUCUUCCAUUUAAAAUAAAUAAAUAAAAAGGGCUGUGUCAUUUGAAGUGCAAUGCACGGGUAGAGAGAAGUGUUUAUGGGGUGGUGCAGUGUGUAGACAGUGUGAUCUGUGUUACUAGAGAACUAUUGGGUUGGGGGGGGGGGUUGUGCUACUACUGAAAUCCAUGUAAGCCCAGUGAACUUUUUCAGGAAAAGUAGGCUACAGUACACUAAACAUAUGGUCUACAGCUUGGGGACAGGGAAGUGAAGUAAAGAAAGGUUACAGCCAUAACACAUCACACCACCAUGUAGAUUCACCCAGUAUCAUAACAGAAGAAUUACAUAUAACAUCAAUGGCAACGUAGGAAUAGUGCACUACUUGGAGCCAAUUCAUAUUUUCUCCAGUGAAUUAAAAGGUAUGGCCAAAUAACAAGGGGAAACCUGAAAUGCAAAUUGUAUGCAACACUAAACAGUUACACGUCAUCCUCAUGUGAUGAUAUCCUCAGUCUCUAUUUUUAGAAUCUGAAUCCUGAAGGAGUUCUAAGUUGUUACAUUUCUUCUAAGGUGCUAAAAAAGUAUAUUCUAGAACAUGACCUUGGUUUCUACAAAUCUUUCACUCUGCCGUCACUAAAUGGCCAGAUUGUAUUAAAUGUUUCAGAAAUAAAAACAACAUGUAGCACAAAAAUAGCGCAGGACAAAAAUAUGUGUUCUGGGAAGUAUGCUGAUGGUUUUUAAAAAAACUUAUUUCAGAAAUACAUUGCUAGAUUCUACAAUUUGUAAGGAACUUACCCAUUUGUCUUGGCGUGGGCAAGAAAAGCUACACUCAUCUUGAAUCCACCCUGGCUGCCUCUUACAGGGUUUGCUGACUUCUGACUCUGCCAUCUGCUGUUGAAAUGACAAAAGCACACACACACUGUGAUACAUCAGGAUAUUAAAUGUUAUGCCAGGACAAUGGAUUCCUUCAGAAGAACAGAUCAGAAUGGCAAGAAUAGGAUGGAGCAGUGAUUCUGCUCCAUCCUCAGAAAAAUUUGGCUCAUAUUUUAUUGCAAGACAAUCCUACUGCAAUCCAAAUAUUGUCUACUUACUAAAAGAUCUUAGUUGCUCACUGUCACCUGAUACAAGGAGGAAAACUGCAAUUAAAAAGUGUUCAA